rnacentral:lncRNA from 1 species
AUGUGCCUGGUGAUGGUGUCCCAGCGUCUACUCCUACUGCAGGGCAGGAGCAGGGAUCCCUCAGUCCUUAGAGCGCUCCAGGUAUCCUGCUUGAUGGCUCAUUUAAGACCAAGAUUUCCUUUGUGGGCCAGGAGUAAAAUCCGAAUUUCCCUCCAAUACAGAGGACAUUCAGAAGGGGAAGCUGACCAGAACCCAGACUCAUCUGGCUACCAUGGGCAUCUCCCACUGCAUCAUUCAGGACCUGAGGGUGGAGGAUGUCUGGAUUUAGAUCUGCAUUACCGGAAACAAACCCUGCCCAGCUGUGGAUGUUGAUAUUACAGAUGCACAGCAAAGAGAAACAGCAUCCAUGUGCAGUGACACAGGAGAGGUGAUGAACCUUUUCUGCUUCCAGCUCUGCAGUCCACUGCUGCCUCCUGUCCCUGUAAUCUGUGCUCCUUAACAAAACAAAGCAAGUAAAAGAAAAUAAGGAGAGAGAGGCACCUUAAAAGCCAGCAAGAGUGGGAAGAUGCACUGCCUCUGAUGUCCUAGAAAAUCUCUGUCCCUGCUCCUAG